rnacentral:rRNA from 1 species
AUGACGGCAACCAUAUUCUAUCUUCUCGCCGCCAUUCUCGCUGCCACCACCGGGACGCUGGCUGCCGGCGCCGGGGACGACGGCAUGACGCACCUCCGCCUCUACAUCCACGAGACAUUCUCUGGCGCCAACGCCACUGCGGUCCAUGUCACGGCCUCCCCGCUCGGGGGCAACUCCACGUACGGCACCCUCAGCGUCUUCGACGACGAGCUCCGUCAAGGGUCCAACGCGGCGUCGCAGCUCGUUGGCCGCGCCCAGGGGAUCAGCAUGCAGGCCGACCUGCAGGACUCCGGGGUGUUCUCCACGCUCCUCACCGUGGUGUUCACUAACGGGGGCUAUAAGGGCAGCACGCUGGUGCUGGGCGGCCGCGUCGACUUCGGCCCGGACGGGAAGGCGGCGGCGGAGAGGGCCGUGGUCGGUGGCACGGGCAGGUUCCGGCUGGCGAGGGGGUACAGCCUGAUGAGCAAGCUCGGCGCCACGUCGAGCACCGCCGUCUUAAAGUUGGACCUCUAUGUCAAGACGGACGUUUGA